UGGGGAAUUUUGCGCAAUGGGCGAAAGCCUGACGCAGCAACGCCGCGUGGAGGAUGAAGGUCUUUGGAUUGUAAACUCCUGUCAGCAGGGAAAAAGCGACUGGACCUAAUACGUCUGGGAGUUGAUUGUACCUGCAGAGGAAGCCCCGGCUAACUCUGUGCCAGCAGCCGCGGUAAUACAGAGGGGGCAAGCGUUAUUCGGAAUUAUUGGGCGUAAAGGGCGCGUAGGCGGCUUUGCAAGUGACGGGUGAAAGCCCUCGGCUUAACCGAGGAACUGCCUGUCAGACUGUGAGGCUUGAGACCGGGAGAGGUGAGUGGAAUUCCCAGUGUAGCGGUGAAAUGCGUAGAUAUUGGGAGGAACACCAGUGGCGAAGGCGGCUCACUGGACCGGAACUGACGCUGAGGCGCGAAAGCGUGGGGAGCAAACAGG
rnacentral:rRNA from 1 species